UACGUAGGGUCCUAGCGUUAUCCGGAAUCAUUGGGCGUAAAGAGCUCGUAGGCGGCUCAGUUAGUCGGAUGUGAAAACUCGGGGCUCAACCCCGAGACGCCAUCCGAUACUGCUGUGGCUUGAGUCUGGUCGGGGAACACGGGAUUCCUGGUGUAGCGGUGAAAUGCGCAGAUAUCAGGGGGAACACCGAUGGCGAAGGCAGUGUUCUGGGCCAGUACUGACGCUGAGGAGCGAAAGCGUGGGGAGCAAACAGG
rnacentral:misc_RNA from 1 species